rnacentral:tRNA from 1 species
GGAGAGUUGGCAGAGUCCGGUUGAAUGCACCUGACUUGAAAUCAGACGUACGUGAAAACGUACCGGGGGUUCGAAUCCCUCACUCUCCG